rnacentral:lncRNA from 1 species
ACAGAUCCAGGCUUGCUAUGUUUACGACGAUUCAUUUCCCUAGAAAAAAUAAAAUAUAUAAAAUGAGCAAGUACAUAAGAAAUUACCUCAGCCAAAAGAAAUUAAAUCAUAAAGCAUUUUCUUUCAUUAGAAGAACUACUUAAAAAAGAAUUUUCCAAUGAGAAUAGGCUAAAAGUUACAUUCCACUUUUGUUAUUUAACUGCUUCAUAUUAAUAGUGUCUAAGGCCAGACCAUUAGAAUGCACCUGAUCUUGUGUGACCUUAGAAGCUAAGCAGAGUCAAUCAAGACUGGCUACAGUUGGAUGGGAGACCACCGGGGAAUACACCUUAGAGCUGUCUGCUUUAGAGCCGUGUGUGUGACACAGGACUUUAAUCCCACCACUCAGGGGUCAGAGACAGGUUGAUCUCUGAGUCUAAGGCCAAUCUGGCUCGGACCACCACACUGCAGACUGUCUCAAGAAAAAACAAAAAUAAAACCCCUAAAGCCCAGCAUCCUUUCCUAAGUUUAAAAACAGUACAGUUAGUUAUUAAGAGACAUAAAUAUGAUUAAACAUGUACCCAAGAGCAUAACAACAGUAACCCAUAACAAAACCCAAAGCUUGAAGAACUUCAACACUGCAUUCAUCACAGGCUCCAGAGAGGAAUUCUACAAGAGAAAGUGUGGAGGCUGGGCGAAGUUCUUUGGAUUCAAAAUGUUAACUCUUCAGAAGGUUGAGGAAGGAGGGUCACUUGAGCCCAGGCGGUCAAAACUAGCUUAGGAAUCACAGUGAGUCCCUUACCUCA